rnacentral:rRNA from 1 species
UACAGAGGGUGCGAGCGUUAAUCGGAAUUACUGGGCGUAAAGCGUGCGUAGACGGCUAUCUAAGUCGGGUGUGAAAGCCCCGGGCUCAACCUGGGAAUUGCAUUCGAGACUGAAUAGCUAGGGUACGGUAGAGGGAAGCGGAAUUUCCGGUGUAGCGGUGAAAUGCGUAGAUAUCGGAAGGAACAUCAGUGGCGAAAGCGGCUUCCUGGACCAGUACCGACGUCAGGCACGAAAGCGUGGGAGCAAACAG